rnacentral:rRNA from 1 species
UACGUAGGGGGCAAGCGUUGUUCGGAAUUACUGGGAGUAAAGGGCGCGUAGGCGGCACGGCAAGUCAGGAGUGAAAGGCCUGGGCUCAACCGAGGAACUGCUUUUGAGACUGCCGAGCUAGAGUGCGGGAGGGGCAACUGGAAUUCCCAGUGUAGCGGUGAAAUGCGUAGAUAUUGGGAAGAACACCUGAGGCGAAGGCGGGUUGCUGGGCCGACACUGACGCUGAGGCGCGAAAGCCAGGGGAGCAAACGGG